UUUUGCUUAUGUUUGUUGAUAGCCAUUAUUUUAGAUGGAAAUGGUAGAGAAAUCAUAGAAACAUCUAUUGUGAUGUCACAAAUUAUUUACAAACAGGUACAUAACAAUAAUAGUUCUACAUCUAAUUAGUUUACAUAGUUUACUUAAUAUUUAAGCAUCACAAUUAAGGUAAAAUACAUGAAAUACUUAGAAAUAAAUUAUAGACUGGAGUACAAUGAAUAACUAAUUAUACUAAAUACUUAAACAAGAUAAUUAAGUUAAUACUAGUGAACUGUAAGUGUAUAAAACGAAUGCUAUGAGAAAUCAAGGUGUUAAAUAAAGUUUCAACUGCUCUGAUACGUUUUUUUUUUAAGUAAACUGGAAGGAAAACCAUUCUAAACCAACCAUUUUACAAACAAAUACCUAUUCUUUGUACUAAACUUGAUUUCCUUUAUCAGUCUUCAUAAUAUCCACUAGAUGGGAUGAUGGUGAAAAUGUGGAAAAUGAUUAAGUACUGAUAAAGAAAACCUAGAUCAGCCUGUGGGUGUCUGAGGUUAACCAACAGAGUUCCGCUGAGUACCACAAAUGCGGCUUCCCGGUGACAAGCACUAGGGAACAGCAACUUGUAUGGGGUAAACCGUCAGCCUACCCGGUGCCGGGGGAUUACCAUGGAAAAACUCGGCCCUCAGUUGUAGACUUGAGUGCCAAACAACUGGACGGUGUUGCUGCUUGGUCAGCGGACAGGAAAAAACCAACAGACCAAUAACUACAGACGGAUAUGGAUAUCAACUGAAACUGGACAGCAGAACACGACAACGACGACGACGACGACAACCGGAAAACCGACGAAUUGCUUGCGUACCUAAACGUUUCGGUUUUCGAUUUCGAUUCCAACUAGGUAACUACUACAACUACUACAGCGCGUUGGGGAAACAACUCGUCGGAAAAAUCUAGUACCGUUAUCACAAUACGCGCACUGAACGGGCGGCGGCUGAUUAAAAACGAUGAACCAAAACAAAUGCGUACGGUGUCGUCCCCUCCAGUCGGCGUUUGCGGCUGCGGUGGCGGAGGUGACUGCGGUAUCAGCCGUGCGAAGGACCGCGGUAGAGGAGGAGUGGGACGGCCCCAUAGAGACGACGACGUACCGCUCUCGGUCGCAGCGGUGGGUGAGGCGGCAGUUGCGGUAUCCUCCGGGUUUAAAAAUAAAUUGGCCGUGGCUAACGAUAUUUUCGUCGCUUAUACUGCUCGCAGAACACAAUAUCCCUCUCUGUUGGAGACGAAACGGUUUCGGUAAUUUUUUUCGCUCGUUUUUCCUCGUGGUUUUCGGCGGUCGCUGCUGCUGGCCGCUGCCGUUUUCCUCUGAGGAAUUUCAUAGUAUUUUUAUGCGACGACAACAACAACAACAGCAGCAGCAGCAGCUGACCGGCAGCGACACCCGCACUCGCGUGCCUGCGUGUGUGCUCUUGUGACGUGUUUACGUCCGGCCAGCAGCUACAAUAAUAUUCGUUUAUCUCUGCCGCGGCUGCGGACGGAUUGCUACUACUACCACUACUACGUGUAGUGUGUGACGUAUAAUUAAAGUAGUAGAUUAUAUAAAUACGUAUAAUAAUAAUAGUUUUUAUCUAUACUAUAUAUACACACAUUCGUUCGCGUACGCCAGAAUUGAGAUUAUACAUACAAUUAUAAUAAUAACAUUGGCACGCGGGUGGACAGCUGUCGGAGAGUUUCGUGAUAACAGUCGACGCCACCGCCGGUUUGUGUACGUUUAGUCGUUCGUUUUUUUUGGAUUUUCUUCCCGAGUGGACGAUCUCUCCCCGGCUGUUUUUUAUUUCCACCCUUGCGAACUUGGCAGCCUCCAGUUGUGCUAUCUGCGCGCGCAUUUCGUGACUCAAGAGUGUGUGUGAUGUCCGACAACAGUGAUGGUAACAGAUUGUCUGGACGCGGCGACGUCUGUCAUUCUAGCGUAGCAAAUGCCACGGUCGAUCUGCAGCAACAGUCGAUAACGGAUUACAAAACAUUAGCUGACAAAAGUUCUGAUGACAUUUUAUCUGAAUACUUAUUGUUGGAGCUGGGGCAGAGUAAAAAGGAAUUAUUCAACUUUGUGCAUUUAAGCCAAUCAAUGAGAUUAGCUAACAUCAAUAAUAAUAAAAAAUUACUCAACACGAUAUUGCACUCCAAGGUGAUAAACACUCAGUUAGAAGUUGAUUGUUUAUUAUCAUGUAUGGGAGUCAAUAUUUCUCCUUCACCCGAGCCCCUGGAAGCUAAUAAUAAAAAUGACCACAAAGGCACAGAUGAACACAAGGACACAGAUGAACGCAAGGACCCAGAUGAACACAAGGACACAGAUGAACACAAGGAAACAGAUGAACACAAGGAAACAGAUGAACACAAGGACAGAGAAAUGUCAUCACCUAUUCUUCCAUUGAUUUUAAAAUAUACACAGUUAGAAGAGUCAAAUUUCAAAAGUCAAUUUUUCAUCACCAGAAGCUCAUUUCAAAUAGUUUGCAGUCAUUUAAUGCAAGAAUUUGGAAGUAUGGCAUAUAAAAGGACUGAAUCUGAUGUUGAAAAACAAUUGCUGGUUACUCUCACAUACUUAGGAACUGUUCUAAGUUACAAGGAGAUUGGAUCAAAAUUUAAUAUCGCUAUUAGCACUGCUCAUAAAUGUGUUAAUGAUGUCACAAACACAUUGUUUAAACGUAUGGGUGAAGUUAUUUAUUGGCCGAUUAAUCAACAAGCCGAAUCUGAAAUUGAAGCAUUUAACAAAAUGCCUGGAAAUUGUUUUCCUGACAUACUAGGCGUCAUUGGAAUGGUAGACUUGAAAAAAACUUGCACAGCCAAUCCAUCCAAACAUACCAGAGAUGGAUCUUCAAUUGCCAUUCAGUGUGUAUGCAACAACAGUUAUCAGUUUUAUAACGUUUUCACCAGUUAUUUGCUCAAAUCAUCUGUUACCACAUCAACAUUCCUAGAGAGUCCAUUAGCUGAAAUGAUUCUUAAUGAUCCAGACACACUUUUUCCAAAUAUCAAAAGUCAUAUUGUUGGACAGUGCUGUUUCCCUCUUUUACCCAAUUUGAUGACUCCAUUUUCUCGUCAUACUUUUAAUACGUUAUCAGAAAACAUCUAUAAUGAAGCCAUUGAGGUACCAUUGAACAUAAUAAGGAUGGCAUUUGGAAAACUAUUAGGGCGGUUCUCAAGACUGUUGUGCUUAGAUUUAUGGGGACAGGACAAAUUUGCCAUCCUAAUAUUUGCUGCUUGUUGCUUGCACAAUCUUUGUUUAGGCAACGACGAUGACAUUUGCUGUGAACCUUACGAGUGCUGCACUUUCAAAUGUGAUUAUUACGAUGAGUUAAGUCUUGCAAAACGUCGAGAAAUAUGCACCAAAAUUAGAUAUCCAGUUCCAUAAACAACAGAUGAAUUGUUUAUAUAACAUUGUACAAAUAUCCAAUGUUGUUUUAAUGUUAUUGGUUCGAUGUUACAAAGAAGCAACGACAAUUCGUAAGAAUCAUGAACUUGACAUACAUACGGCCCAUACGGCCAUAUUGUCAUUAAACUGCGAAAAGUACACAGCAAUAUUACGGUCGAAGACUUUGAGGACCACCUAGUCCUGCCGCGGGGGGAUAGCGGACUGUGGCGAGACGAUGCGGUGCUCACGGGACCGUGCUGUUUACCUCGGGUCGAAUAUGUCGGCGUACAUCGAGACGUUUUCGACGAAGGCUCCGCUUGCCGGGCUACCAGUUGUCAGAAGCGAGCUGCUACCACCGUGACGACAGACAUCCAAACGGUCCGGACCGGACAAAUGAUCGAACAAAUCGGAACUCUGGCGAUACGGCGAUACGCGUCGUUUUCCGUUUUCUCGAACGGUGUACCUUUUAUCAAUAUUGUGUCUGACGCAGCAAACAGUGCCGUCGACAGUGCGAACUGCAAACACAACGUACCGUUCAAGCGCGACGGAUGCGUCCGGUCAAAAAUCGCGUUUUUUCCACGGGAUAUUCAGGCUUCCGGCGUCUGACAGAACGAAUCGCAUUACUUUGGGGAGUAUAGUUUAUGGAUAAAUUCACAGACAUAAUAUUAUUUACGUGUAAUAUCAUUGUGGGUGAAUUAAUUAGGUAUUGUUCUGCGCUAUAAUUAAUAUUGUAUUAAUACGGGUUCUAGAAUUAUAAUCGGACAUGUUGGUAAUCUACUUAUCUAAAACCACUACCUUAGUAACGGAUGUACGGACGAACGGCGUAUCAUAGGUUAUUUAUUUUUUUUAUAGUUUUGUAAUUCGUUAUCUAUGGCGCUGCAGUGUUAAGGCUCUGCGAUUCUCUAAUCUCUAGACUCUAGUUCACUUCUGUAGGGCGUAGGCUGUUGAGUGUUGAGUGUUGACUCAUCCGUUCGUACGGUUUUCUAAUAUCCUCCGUCUCCCGAACUGCUCAGUUGCUCCUACAACAAUUUACAGUAUAUACUUUUUUUGGAUUUCAUAGUUCAUACUGUUUACAGCCUACGACUUUCAAACAUUUUAAUUAA